rnacentral:rRNA from 1 species
CAAUAGCGUAUAUUAAAGCUGUUGCAGUUAAAAAGCUCGUAGUUGAAUUUUUGCUUGCCGCCGAUGUCGGAACUUCCGUACGUUCGGCGGCGUGCAUCCUUGGGUGGAACCUGUGUGGCAUUAGGUUGUCGUGCAGGGGAUGCUCAUCGUUUACUGUGAAAAAAUUAGAGUGUUCAAAGCAGGCUUACGCCGUUGAAUAUAUUAGCAUGGAAUAAUAAGAUAGGACCUUGGUACUAUUUUGUUGGUUUGCGCACCGAGGUAAUGAUUAACAGGGACAGUUGGGGGUAUUCGUAUUCCAUUGUCAGAGGUGAAAUUCUUGGAUUUCUGGAAGACGAACUACUGCGAAAGCAUUUACCAAGGAUGUUUUCAUUAA